rnacentral:rRNA from 1 species
GAUGAACGCUGGCGGCGUGCCUAAUACAUGCAAGUCGAGCGAACAGACGAGGAGCUUGCUCCACUGACGUUAGCGGCGGACGGGUGAGUAACACGUGGAUAACCUACCUAUAAGACUGGGAUAACUUCGGGAAACCGGAGCUAAUACCGGAUAAUAUAUUGAACCGCAUGGUUCAAUAGUGAAAGACGGUUUUGCUGUCACUUAUAGAUGGAUCCGCGCCGCAUUAGCUAGUUGGUAAGGUAACGGCUUACCAAGGAAACGAUGCGUAGCCGACCUGAGAGGGUGAUGGCCCACACUGGAGCUGAGACACGGUCCAGACUCCUACGGGAGGCGCCAGUAGGGAAUCUUCCGCGAUGUGCGAAAGCCUGACGGAGCAACGCCGCGUGAGUGAUGAAGGUCUUCGGAUCGUAAAACUCUGUUAUUAGUGAAGACCAAUUUUGUAAGUAACUAUGCACUUCUUGACGGUACCUAAUCAGAAAGCCACGGCUAACUACGUG